rnacentral:rRNA from 1 species
AGUGAACGCUGGCGGCGUGCUUAACACAUGCAAGUCGCACGAGAAAGCUUCUGCUUGCAGAGGCGAGUAAAGUGGCGCACGGGUGAGUAACACGUGGGUAAUCUACCUUCGAAUUGGGGAUAACGUUGCGAAAGCGACGCUAAUACCGAAUGAUAUCUUUGAGUCCUCGGAUUCAGAGAUCAAAGGUGGCCUCUUCAUGAAAGCUACUGUUUGAAGAUGAGCCCGCGUCCCAUUAGCUUGUUGGUGGGGUAAUGGCCUACCAAGGCUACGAUGGGUAGCUGGUCUGAGAGGAUGAUCAGCCACACUGGAACUGACACACGGUCCAGACUCCUACGGGAGGCAGCAGUGAGGAAUUUUGCGCAAUGGGGGAAACCCUGACGCAGCAACGCCGCGUGAGUGAUGAAGGCUUUCGGGUCGUAAAGCUCUGUCAAGUGGGAAGAACCCGUAUAUGGCUAAUAUCCAUAUACGCUGACGGUACCACUGAAGGAAGCACCGGCUAACUCCGUGCCAGCAGCCGCGGUAAUACGGGGGGUGCAAGCGUUACUCGGAAUCAUUGGGCGUAAAGGGCGCGUAGGCGGCCUAGUAAGUCAGGUGUGAAAGCCCGGGGCUUAACCCCGGAAGUGCAUUUGAUACUGCUAGGCUUGAGUAUGGGAGAGGGAAGUGGAAUUCCUGGUGUAGAGGUGAAAUUCGUAGAUAUCAGGAGGAACACCGGUGGCGAAGGCGACUUCCUGGACCAAUACUGACGCUGAGGCACGAAAGCUGGGGGAGCAAACAGGAUUAGAUACCCUGGUAGUCCCAGCUGUAAACGAUGGGUACUAGGUGUAGGUGGCGACAGUCAUCUGUGCCGUAGUUAACGCGAUAAGUACCCCGCCUGGGGAGUACGGCCGCAAGGCUGAAACUCAAAGGAAUUGACGGGGGCCCGCACAAGCGGUGGAGCAUGUGGUUUAAUUCGAAGCAACGCGAAGAACCUUACCAGGGCUUGACAUCCCCUGACGUGUACAGAGAUGUGCAUUCUCUUCGGAGCAGGGAGACAGGUGGUGCAUGGUUGUCGUCAGCUCGUGUCGUGAGAAGUUGGGUUAAGUCCCGCAACGAGCGCAACCCCUAUCAUUAGUUGCCAGCAUUAAGUUGGGCACUCUAGUGAGACUGCCGGUGAUAAACCGGAGGAAGGUGGGGAUGACGUCAAAUCAUCAUGCCCCUUAUGUCCUGGGCUACACACGUGCUACAAUGGCCUGAACAGAGGGAAGCGAAGGAGAGAUCUGGAGCGGAACCCAAAAAACAGGCCUCAGUUCGGAUCGCAGGCUGCAACUCGCCUGCGUGAAGUCGGAAUCGCUAGUAAUCGCAGGUCAGCAUACUGCGGUGAAUACGUUCCCGGGCCUUGUACACACCGCCCGUCACACCACGAAAGCUUGCAACACCCGAAGCCGGUGGUCUAACCGAAAGGAAGAAGCCGUCGAAGGUGGGGCAGGUGAUUGGGGUG